AUACGACCAUACCCACUGGAAAACUCGGGAUCCCGUCCGCUCUCCCAUAGAUAAGCCAGUGAGGGCCGGAUUAGUAGUUGGGUCGGUGACGACCAGCGAAUACCUGGUGUUGUAU
rnacentral:rRNA from 1 species